GGGGCUAACUUACCAACCCUAACAAAGCCCAAAUCAUGUGAGAAGUAGAGGGAGACCCUUAGGGAAGCUCUAGAGGGCUAACUUACCAGACCCUUAAGAAAAUCUCGAUGACUUCGAGGUGGGGCUAACUUACCUAACCCCAGCAAAGCUCAAGUCACAUAAGAAGCAGAGGGAGACCCUUAGAGAAUCUUCGGAGGGCUAAUUUAUCAUACCCUCAAGAAAAUCUCGAUGACUUUGAGGUGGGGCUAACUUAUCAUAUCCCAAUAUAGCCCAAGUCAUGUGAGAAGUAGAGAAAGAUCCUUAAGAAACCUCUGGAGGGCUAACUAAUCAGACCCUCAGAAUACCGUCGAGAGUGCAAGAUGCCGUAGGCAUAAGCUCGCUGUUGGUAUACACUGCCUUUUACGUAAAGACGAGAAGUACUAGAUUCCAUAGGCACA
rnacentral:lncRNA from 1 species